rnacentral:tRNA from 1 species
UAGCAUAGUAGGUAGUGUUGCUGUCUUUGUAUGCAGAAGUUGCAGGUUCAAAUCCUGC